CGUAGGGUGCGAGCGUUAAUCGGAUACUGGGCGUAAAGCGUGCGCAGGCGGUUUUGUAAGACAGAUGUGAAAUCCCCGGGCUCAACCUGGGACCUGCAUUUGUGACUGCAAGGCUAGAGUACGGUAGAGGGGGAUGGAAUUCCGCGUGUAGCAGUGAAAUGCGUAGAUAUGCGGAGGAACACCGAUGGCGAAGGCAAUCCCCUGGACCUGUACUGACGCUCAUGCACGAAAGCGUGGGGAGCAAACAGGAUUAGAUACCCUGGUAGUCCACGCCCUAAACGAUGUCAACUGGUUGUUGGGUCUUUACUGACUCAGUAACGAAGCUAACGCGUGAAGUUGACCGCCUGGGGGAGUACGGCCGCAAGGUUG
rnacentral:rRNA from 1 species